rnacentral:rRNA from 1 species
UGAGGAAUAUUGGUCAAUGGGCGAGAGCCUGAACCAGCCAAGUAGCGUGCAGGAUGACGGCCCUAUGGGUUGUAAACUGCUUUUAUGUGGGGAUAAAGUGCGUGACGUGUCAUGCAUUGCAGGUACCACAUGAAUAAGGACCGGCUAAUUCCGUGCCAGCAGCCGCGGUAAUACGGAAGGUCCGGGCGUUAUCCGGAUUUAUUGGGUUUAAAGGGAGCGUAGGCUGUCUAUUAAGCGUGUUGUGAAAUGUAGAUGCUCAACAUCUGACUUGCAGCGCGAACUGGCUGACUUGAGUACACACAACGUAGGCGGAAUUCAUGGUGUAGCGGUGAAAUGCUUAGAUAUCAUGAAGAACUCCGAUUGCGAAGGCAGCUUACGGGAGUGUUACUGACGCUUAAGCUCGAAGGUGCGGGUAUCGAACAGG